UCCGAGUUGACCCCGGCAGUCUCCUAUGAGUCCCCGACAUUACUCGCUGGCAACAUAGAACAAGGGUUGCGCUCGUUGCGGGACUUAACCCAACAUCUCACGACACGAGCUGACGACAGCCAUGCACCACCUGUCACCCACCAACUAAAUGACCCUGUAUCUCUACAGGUCCACGGGUGAUGUCAAACCUUGGUAAGGUUCUUCGCGUUGCGUCGAAUUAAGCAACAUGCUCCGCCGCUUGUGCGGGCCCCCGUCAAUUCCUUUGAGUUUUGGCCUUGCGGCCGUAUUCCCCAGGCGGGGCGCUUAAUGCGUUAGCUACGGCGCGGAAACCGUGGAAAGUCCCCACACCUAGCGCCCAACGUUUACGGCGUGGACUAC
rnacentral:misc_RNA from 1 species